AUUGAACGCUGGCGGCAUGCCUUACACAUGCAAGUCGAACGGUAACAGGUCUUCGGAUGCUGACGAGUGGCGAACGGGUGAGUAAUACAUCGGAACGUGCCCGAUCGUGGGGGAUAACGAAGCGAAAGCUUUGCUAAUACCGCAUACGAUCUACGGAUGAAAGCAGGGGACCGCAAGGCCUUGCGCGAACGGAGCGGCCGAUGGCAGAUUAGGUAGUUGGUGGGAUAAAAGCUUACCAAGCCGACGAUCUGUAGCUGGUCUGAGAGGACGACCAGCCACACUGGGACUGAGACACGGCCCAGACUCCUACGGGAGGCAGCAGUGGGGAAUUUUGGACAAAGGGCGAAAGCCUGAUCCAGCCAUGCCGCGUGCAGGAUGAAGGCCUUCGGGUUGUAAACUGCUUUUGUACGGAACGAAAAGACUCUGGUUAAUACCUGGGGUCCAUGACGGUACCGUAAGAAUAAGCACCGGCUAACUACGUG
rnacentral:rRNA from 1 species